rnacentral:sRNA from 1 species
GUUAGUGAUUUUACAAAAUCAUUGAUUAGUCCAAUCACUGGACUAAUCAAUGAUUUUGUAAAAUCACUAACAGUUUCAG